rnacentral:rRNA from 1 species
UUCCUUCGGGAAGCGAGCGUACACAGGUGCUGCAUGGCUGUCGUCGGCUCGUGUCGUGAGAUGUUGGGUUAAGUCCCGCAACGAGCGCAACCCCUGCAUUCAGUUGCCAUCGGGUAAUGCCGGGCACUCUGGAAGGACUGCCAUCGACAAGAUGGAGGAAGGUGGGGAUGACGCCAAGUCAUCAUGGCCCUUAUGUCCAGGGCGACACACGUGCUACAAUGGCCGGCACAACGGGAAGCGAAGGGGCGACCCUGAGCGGAUCCCCAUAAAAGCCGGUCCCAGUUCGGAUUGCAGUCUGCAACUCGACUGCAUGAAGUUGGAAUCGCUAGUAAUCGUGGAUCAGCCAAGCCGCGGUGAAUACGUUCCCGGGCCUU